AAAUAAAACCAAAGUCCGAUAGCGCACUAGUACCGCGAGGGAAUGCUGAAAAGAACCCGUAACAGGGAGUGAAAAGAUCUGAAAUCUAACAGUUACAGUUUGUUACUGCCCUUUCCUCUUCGGAGGAUUGGGGUUGUAACGUACGUUUCGAAGAACGAGCCAGGGAGUUUAUUUGUGUGGCGAGGCUAAUCAUCUAUAAUGAGUAACCGAAGCGAAAGCAAGUUGGAAACAGCGAGAGUCACACGAAUCAGACCUGAAGCCAGGUGAUCUAAUCAUGGGCAAGGUGAAGUCUUCCGAAAGGAGGAUGGAGGCCUGAACCAGUGUUGUGUACAUGCACUUGGAUGAUCUGUGAUUAGGGGUGAAAAGCCUAUCUAACCUGGUGAUGGCUGGUUCCUGCUGAAAUAUGCCUCCGUAUAGUCUUGUCUAGCUUGUCGACGGUGUAAAGUACGGAUAAAAUUUGCAGAGGCUAAUGCCUACGGAAUUUUUUCCAACUCAGAAUCUGUCGACUGCAUAGGACAAGAAACAGGGUGUGUAUGUAAGAUACACCUCCGAGACCCAAAAAAGGGAGACCAGAGUUAAGGUCCCUAAAUUCAUGCUAAGUGCGACAAAAGGUGUCCUGGACCUGAGACACUAGGGAUGUAAGCUUAGAAGCAGCUAUCAUUUAAAGAAAGCGUAACAGCUCACCUAUCGAGGCCCAAGGCCCUGAAAAUGGACGGGGCUAAGCAUGGUACCGAUACUCUGGAGGCACUCGGUUUAAAAUAGUAUAACAAAAAUCAAAGAUUUUUGUGCGUCUGCCAAGAUGGUAGGCGCGGGAAGAAUUUUUUAUAUGAAAUAGGAAAAGAAAAGGUUUUUAAACUUUAAAGUAACAACAAAAUUAUGAAUUUGAAGACGCUCCUUACAACAAAAAAAGAUGAAAGAAUAAUGAUGGAUUUUGCUAGAGGAAAGAUUAAUUAUUUAGAGGAUGGUUUUCUUCAAAAAAAUUUCCCAGACUUGUUUAGAAAUCUUAAAAGUUAUCGCGGUAGAUGGGAUGAGUUUGGAGAAGAACUUGAAAGAAGGUGUAUAGAAAGAACAAGAGAUAUUUCACAAAGAAAGGUAGAUUAUGGUGCAAUACUUCAUAAUGUUGGAGUUGCUAUUCCAUUUUAUUUUUUUACUGCACUCGUUAAUAUUGUUGGUGGUCUUGGUGGGGGGAUUCAUAAAACCCAAGAGAUGCUUGAUGAGGAUUUAAGACCAUAUAUGAAACCAACUUAUAAAUUGGCAAAUUCUAAUUAAAAUAUAAUUCACAAAUCAUAUUCAACGAAAGUUGAUUUCAUAAUUAAUUCUUCCUGUACUAUACAGAGUGUUCUGGUAAGCAGGCGUCUUUUCUGCGUCGAAGCUUCUUCGAGAGAAGGGGUGGAGCGGAAAGGAAUGAGAAUCCUGGUGGUAGUAGGAUGUGAUUUCUCUGAGAAAGAGAAACGUCGAAAGGGUAAGGUUUCCUUGGCAAUAUAUUUUAGCCAAGGGUUAGUCAGCGCCUAAGUUGUGCCCUAACAGAGUACGACGAUGGACAACAGGUUAAUAUUCCUGUACUGAUCAAAUUUUACAUUUUAGGAAAGCUUUCGGAUAAGCAAGCACCCGGAAGGGUGUUCUGGGAAAGAGACGGGGGGAGCGUAAUGCAAAGAUCUCUGUGAAUUUUUCAGACAAAAUUUCUGACUCCGAGAGCCAGUGAAAAGUUCUAGAGUUAAACGAGUUUGGUUAGCUGUACCCACAACCGACACUGGUGCCCUAGCUGAGAAGGCUAAGACGUGAAAGGAAAAACCAACUAAGGGAAUUCGGCAUAUUGGUCCUGUAGCUUCGGCUGAAGGGAUGUCUAUCUUUGUGCUUCGGUUCGCAAGAAUUUUAGGUGCAUCGGUAGAUUACAAUAACAAAGAUGGCCCGACUGUUUACCAAAAACGUAGCCAAGUGCUAAUCUGUAAAGACUUGUAUACUUGGUGAGCCCUGCCCAGUGGCGGUGUCUGAAACCCCUUUUCAAGGGGGCUAAUGCCCGUUAAACGGCGGGAGUAACUAUGACUCUCUUAAGGUAGCGUAAUGCCUUGUCGUCUGAAUGGCGACGUGCAUGAAUGGGUUAACGUGGUUGUCACUGUCCCUAGUUGGGACCUUCUGAACACACUUCGUGGUGAAAAGGCCACGGACGCCUAGUGGGAAGCGGAGACCUUGUGGAACUUUACUGCAACUUGUUGUUGUAAUUUUAAGUGGAAUGCAUAGAAUAGGUAGGAGCGUCGAGUCCCUCUUUUCGGAGGGGGAGGAGCGAAAGUGUAAUACUACCCAUUUUUAUUAGAAUUGCUUACCGUUUACGGAACAGCAGCAGGCGGGCAGUUUGGCUGGGGCGGCGCCCUGUCGAAAAGAUAUCGAUAGGACCCAAAGUCAAGCUCAUCCGGCUUGGAAACCCGGAGUUGAGUGCGAGGGCAAAAGCUUGACUGACUGUAUUCUGAAAAGCAAGGAAUGCAGGGACGAAAGUCUGGCCUAGUGAACCCACGUGCUUUUUUAAUAGAAGCCGUGUCUGAUAGAAAAGUUACCCCAAGGAUAACAGGCUUGUCGCACCCGAUAGUCCAUAUUGACGGUGCGGUUUGGUACAUCGCUGUCGGCUCUACCUAUCCUGCGCGUGCAGAAGCGUGCAAGGGUGUCGGAGUUCACGCAUUAAAAGGUAUCGUUAGCUGGGUUAAGAACGUCAAAAAUAGACCCAAUUAACAGAUAAGUACUGAACAAAGAACUUGACAAGCAAAAAAUAAAUAAUUAACGCGGCGUUGCGCACGAGUAAUUGUGCGAAAAAUAAAAUCAGCUCAUAUCGGUGGAGGCUUGAUGUUUAAAUUGAUUAAACUGUCAGCAUCAUGUUAAUACCGAGGGAAGUCGUAAUUGACCCCGUAGAGACUUAGAGUUUAAAACUCUGGAGUUCUGCUGUUAAAAGCAGAGCUAAGACGCUGAUCUCCGUUGUGCAAACAACGGAUGAAGGUAUAGU
rnacentral:rRNA from 1 species